GACGAACGCUGGCGGCGUGCUUAACACAUGCAAGUCGAGCGGAAAGGCCACUUCGGUGGUACUCGAGCGGCGAACGGGUGAGUAACACGUGAGUAAUCUGCCCCUGGCUUCGGGAUAGCCACCGGAAACGGUGAUUAAUACCGGAUAUGACCAUUGCACGCAUGUGUGGUGGUGGAAAGUUUUUCGGCCAGGGAUGUGCUCGCGGCCUAUCAGCUUGAUGGUGAGGUAAUGGCUCACCAUGGCUUCGACGGGUAGCCGGCCUGAGAGGGUGACCGGUCACACUGGGACUGAGACACGGCCCAGACUCCUACGGGAGGCAGCAGUGGGGAAUAUUGGACAAUGGGCGGAAGCCUGAUCCAGCAACGCCGCGUGAGGGAUGACGGCCUUCGGGUUGUAAACCUCUUUCGCCUGUGACGAAGCGCAAGUGACGGUAACAGGUAAAGAAGCACCGGCCAACUACGUGCCAGCCGCCGCGGUAAAAC
rnacentral:rRNA from 1 species